rnacentral:rRNA from 1 species
UAAUCCACCUGAUACACUGGAUAGUGGCAGUUACUUGGAUAACUGCGGUAAUUCUGGAGCUAAUACAUGCGUCGAAGCCCCGAACUUGCGUGAGGGGCGCUUUUAUUAGAUCAAAGCCAAACGGCCCUUUAUGGGCCGUCCCCCUGGUGACUCUGAAUAACUUUGUGCAGAUCGCACGGCCUCGUGCCGGCGACGUAUCUUUCUAAGGUGUGCCCUAUCAACUGUCGACUGUGGCAUAGACGCCCACAGUGGUUUUGACGGGUAACGGGGAAUCAGGGUUCGAUUCCGGAGAGGGAGCCUGAGAAACGGCUACCACUUCUAAGGAAGGCAGCAGGCACGCAAAUUACCCACUGGCCGAAGGCCGAGGUAGUGACGAUAAAUAACGAUACCGGACUCAUCCGAGGCCCGGUAAUCGGAAUGAGUACACUUUAAAUCCUUUAACGAGGAACCAUUGGAGGGCAAGUCUG